ensembl:lincRNA
CUCCAAAGGAAAUGGAAAUGAAAGCAAAAUGGAAGGACGUGAGGUCCUUAUCCUUGGAGAUCCUAUGGAGUCUCCACAGACAUUCCUUGAAGAAAUCAGAUGGAGCUGAGCCUGACACUCUAACCGGUUCUCUGGGUGUACUGCAAAGGUCUAAUAAAAGGCACCUUUGCCCGGUUGCUUCAAUUCUAGGAAGCUGUUCAAUGUUUGACUAUAUUUCUCCAUACUCAUUUGAAAACAGUUCAUCAGAUUGGAACGACCUGGAGCAGCCAGCAGAGUGACAAAUGAGGAAGAGGACAGAACCUAGCUGAAGAAGCUCUGGAAGAUACCAUUUGAAGUCUUGAGUGCUUGAACUCACAAAGAAAGCACGUGAGUACACACUAGCACUUGAGCUCUUCAUUUUAAACAGAAUAAAGAAUGUACUGCUAUUAUUGUCAUUUUACAGAUAGGGAAAUUCAGACUCACCAGGGCUACCCAGAUACAAAGAAAAUGAGCCAGAAUUUCAAGCAAGCCUGAGCUUAGAAUCUACACUAUUUUUUUUUUUUUUUUGAGACAUGGUCUUACUUUGUCACCCAGGCUGGAGUUCAGUGGUAUUAGGUUGGCACAAAAGUAAUUGUGGUCUUUGCCACUUAAAACUAGAGCCCGAAACUGCAAUUACUUUUGCACCAACCUAAUGCACUUACCAGAGCUCACUUACGCCUUGACCUCCUGGGCUCAAGUGAUUCUCCCACCUCAGCCUCCCAAGUGGCUGGGAAUAUGGGCAUGCACCACCCUGCCCAGCUAGCUUUUCUUUUUUUUUUUUUUUUGUGGAGACAGGAUUUUGCCAUGUUGUCCCGGCUGGUCUUUAACUCCUGAGCUCAAACUAUCCUUCUGCCCUGGCCUCCCAAAGUUCUGGGAUUACAGGCAUGAGCCACUGUGCCCGGCCCAGAACCUAUGCUCCUAACUGCCACACCAAUUGACCUCUAUUCAGCCAUUUUUAUUUCUAUAGCACUUGGUAUAAUUUCACUUUGCACACAGUAUCUAUAGAUAAUCAUUCCAGGGCAUGUAAUCGUCAUAAGGUUAUUUAUGUUGUUGCAUGUGUAUUACUGCAUGUAAUCUUCACGUGUUAUUGCCUCUAACAAGUUAUGUAUUUCCAUGUAGUCUUCAUAACUGUGUAUAGAAGGCCAUUUUAGAGAUGGAAAACUGAGACUCAGAAGUGGUAAUUGUCCUACUGGUCAGAGAUUUAGCCAGGGUUUGGAUUGUGGAAUGCAGAGGACCACUUACUUUUCACUAGACCAUAAAUGCUCCUCACCACUGAGGCAUGUCAAAUGCCAGAUAUGUCCAGGAACCUUAGGCUACGUCUCCAUUUUUUUUGCUUUUUCCCCGCUUAGACACAGCUUGGCGAAGAACAAAUGAUCCCAAACACCAAACAGCACACUUGGAAACAUUUAACCCGCAUACUUUCAGACUUUCUAGCAUGGACCAACCUGUUGUCUUACCUUUGUUCCUGGCCAGAAAGAAAUGGCAUGAAAGGAUGGACAGUUUUUAUAACCUCUUUGAGCUCUAAACCAUGUUUCCUGUGCACUUAGGAGAUCUUAAUAGAAACCAAGUACUUCUUUUAGGCAUCUAUACUCUUAAUGCCGUAAGUCAAGUCAAGUACCCUGGUGGUUAAGAUAACUGUACCAACAGAAACAUUUUUAAAAAAUAUCCUAACACAACACGAAGUGACCAUCGCGAAUUCAAAGAAGCAGGCAUAUUUCUUAAACGUUGAAAAGAGGUGAGUCUUUCACAAGAUUCUAGCUCAAGGCCAUAUUUGCACAAGUAUAGUCAUUCCUCUAGCAAGGUUUUGUUUAUCUGGCCAUUAAAAAAAUUAAAACAACUUUUACUUUCGGCUGUUUGAACAAGAACUGUUUUUCCAGCUGUGCAGUCUAAGGAGGAUACAAGCGGCCUGGUUUGGUUAUAUUUUUUCCAGAAUAGGAAAGUUUCCUACACAAUUCUGCUUGGACUAAACUGCAUACAGAGCAGUUUAUUUAUACUGUUUUAUCGCACACCUGUUUGGAUAUGGGCUAUUUUCUGGUAUUUAAACAUACCAUUUCUUGCCAAUUGCUUUAUCUUCAGAGUCCUAUGGUUCGGCUGAAAAUGUUUCUUAUUAACUCAGAAAGAAACACCAAUUGCUCUAUGAACAUUACUAGUGAGGACAAAGAUAACUUAAUUGUUACUUACUUCAAACAUGUUAUCACUGAAGAACUUUAUCCCAGAAAUCCAUUCAAAAUAAGUUAGAGGCCAUUUCACUAUACUCAAAGGGAAAAAAGGAGUUAACAAAGCCUUUUUGGAAUACAAUCUUUAAUAAAACACUGUUUUUCUAAAAAAAGCCACCUGCUUAUUUUGAGCUAGUAUGUUGCAAUGGAAGGAAAACAUUGCCAUUCUAGUCAGUAAUGAGCUAUUUUACCCACUAAGGAAGUUCUGGGAUGCACAGAUGGCAGCCUGAGAAUUUGAGCAAAAGCCCUGACUCCACUCACAUGACCUUCUCUGAAUCACUUAAACUCUAGGUACUUCUCUUAUUAUAUCAGUAAAAUGUGGGUCAUAAUAGCUAUCCAGUAAUUAGAUCAUUUAAAUCAACCCAUCAAUAUUAAAUAGCUAUGAUGUGAUAAAGUUUGGUCUUGGCCUUGGGGUAUAGAGAUGAAUGAGACAAAGUCUUUAUAUCUAGAAAUUCACAUUUCAUAAUCCUGCACAUAGUAGGCCUCUCUUCUAUGUUAGGGGAAUCUGAAUAUUUAUGUAUAGAUUCAUUAGUAGCUAACUAUAAAGUCAAAACUGAACCUAUAGAGUUGCAAUCUAACUGUUUAUGUGAAGGGGUUAGUUUUAUCUUGCAGCUAAAAAAGCAGACUAAAAUACUAACUUAACAAACUCUAUUAGUUAUCUAUAGCUGUGUAACAAACCAUCCCCAAAGUAUAG